AAUGACCCUUCCGUAGGUGAACCUGCGGAAGGAUCAUUA
rnacentral:rRNA from 2 species